GCGUAGUUGGUUUAGUGGUAUAAUUACCGCCUGCCACGCGGUAGACCUGGGUUCGAUUCCCAGACUACGCA
rnacentral:tRNA from 2 species